rnacentral:misc_RNA from 1 species
GAUGAAGAACGUAGCGAAAUGCGAUAAGUAGUGUGAAUUGCAGAAUUCAGUGAAUCAUCGAAUCUUUGAACGCACAUUGCGCCCCUUGGUAUUCCAUGGGGCAUGCCUGUUCGAGCGUCAUUUGUACCUUCAAGCUUUGCUUGGUGUUGGGUGUUUGUCCAUUCUCUUGCAGAGGUACUCGCCUUAAAGUAAUUGGCAGCCAGUGUUUUGGUUUUGAAGCGCAGCACAAGUCGCGAUUCAACGCUAUACGCCAGCUUCCACAAGCCUUUUUCACUUUUGACCUCGGAUCAGGUAGGGAUACCCGCUGAACUUAAGCAUAUCAAUAAGCGGAGGA